AUACUUACCUGGCAAGGGAGAUACUGUGAUCAAGAAGGCAGUUCACCCAGGGCGAGGCUCAGCCAUUGCACUGCGACUGUGCUGACCCCUGCGAAUUUCCCAAAUGCGUUCGCGCUCUCCCCUGAUGUCUUGUUUAAUGAUAAAACUGUUGCUUGGC